rnacentral:rRNA from 1 species
AUACGUAGGGUGCAAGCGUUAAUCGGAAUUACUGGGCGUAAAGCGUGCGCAGGCGGUUUUGUAAGACAGAGGUGAAAUCCCCGGGCUCAACCUGGGAACUGCCUUUGUGACUGCAAGGCUAGAGUACGGCAGAGGGGGAUGGAAUUCCGCGUGUAGCAGUGAAAUGCGUAGAUAUGCGGAGGAACACCGAUGGCGAAGGCAAUCCCCUGGGCCUGUACUGACGCUCAUGCACGAAAGCGUGGGGAGCAAACAGGAUUAGAUACCCUGGUAGUCCACGCCCUAAACGAUGUCAACUGGUUGUUGGGUCUUCAUUGACUCAGUAACGAAGCUAACGCGUGAAGUUGACCGCCUGGGGAGUACGGCCGCAAGG